rnacentral:rRNA from 1 species
UACGUAGGGUGCGAGCGUUGUCCGGAAUUAUUGGGCGUAAAGAGCUUGUAGGCGGUUUGUCGCGUCUGCUGUGAAAUCUCAAGGCUCGACCUUGAGCUUGCAGUGGGUACGGGCAGACUAGAGUGUGGUAGGGGAGACUGGAAUUCCUGGUGUAGCGGUGAAAUGCGCAGAUAUCAGGAGGAACACCGAUGGCGAAGGCAGGUUUCUGGGCCACUACUGACGCUGAGAAGCGAAAGCAUGGGGAGCGAACAGG